rnacentral:rRNA from 1 species
UGGGGAAUUUUGGACAAUGGGGGAAACCCUGAUCCAGCCAUCCCGCGUGUGCGAUGAAGGCCUUCGGGUUGUAAGCACUUUUGGCAGGAAAGAAACGUCGCGGGUUAAUACCCCGCGAAACUGACGGUACCUGCAGAAUAAGCACCGGCUAACUACGUGCCAGCAGCCGCGGCAAUACGUAGGGUGCAAGCGUUAAUCGGAAUUACUGGGCGUAAAGCGUGCGCAGGCGGUUCGGAAAGAAAGAUGUGAAAUCCCAGAGCUUAACUUUGGAACUGCAUUUUUAACUACCGGGCUAGAGUGUGUCAGAGGGAGGUGGAAUUCCGCGUGUAGCAGUGAAAUGCGUAGAUAUGCGGAGGAACACCGAUGGCGAAGGCAGCCUCCUGGGAUAACACUGACGCUCAUGCACGAAAGCGUGGGGAGCAAACAGGAUUAGAUACCCUGGUAGUCCACGCCCUAAACGAUGUCAACUAGCUGUUGGGGCCUUCGGGCCUUGGUAGCGCAGCUAACGCGUGAAGUUGACCGCCUGGGGAGUACGGUCGCAAGAUUAAAACUCAAAUGAAUUGAC